rnacentral:rRNA from 1 species
UACGUAGGCAGCAAGCGUUGUUCGGAAUUACUGGGCGUAAAGGGCUCGUAGGCGGCCAACUAAGUCAGACGUGAAAUCCCUCGGCUUAACCGGGGAACUGCGUCUGAUACUGGAUGGCUUGAGUUUGGGAGAGGGAUGCGGAAUUCCAGGUGUAGCGGUGAAAUGCGUAGAUAUCUGGAGGAACACCGGUGGCGAAGGCGGCAUCCUGGACCAACACUGACGCUGAGUGAGCGAAAGCCAGGGGAGCAAACGGG